rnacentral:misc_RNA from 1 species
UCUCCGUUGGUGAACCAGCGGAGGGAUCAUUACAGGAGUCGCAAGACUCCUACAAACCUUUUAACUUAACUAUAAGCACGUUGCUUCGGUGGGUGUCUCGGAGGGGGUUCUCCCUCCCAUGGAGACUAAACCCGCCGGCAGUCUACUAUACUCUGUCUCUUUGCGUUAGCUUUUAGAGUAACAUCAAACAAGUUAAAACUUUCAACAACGGAUCUCUUGGUUCUG